GAUCCUGGCUCAGAACGACGCUGCGGCAUGCCUAACACAUGCAAGUCGAACGAGACCUUCGGGUCUAGUGGCGCACGGGUGCGUAACGCGUGGGAAUCUGCCCUGGGGUGCGGAAUAACUCGGAGAAAUCCGUGCUAAUACCGCAUAAUGUCUUCGGACCAAAGAUUUAUCGCCCUGGGUUGAGCCCGCGUAGGAUUAGCUAGUUGGUGGGGUAAAGGCCUACCAAGGCGACGAUCCUUAGCUGGUCUGAGAGGAUGAUCAGCCACACUGGGACUGAGACACGGCCCAGACUCCUACGGGAGGCAGCAGUGGGGAAUAUUGGACAAUGGGCGAAAGCCUGAUCCAGCAAUGCCGCGUGAGUGAUGAAGGCCCUAGGGUUGUAAAGCUCUUUUACCCGGGAUGAUAAUGACAGUACCGGGAGAAUAAGCUCCGGCUAACUCCGUG
rnacentral:rRNA from 1 species